GACGAACGCUGGCGGCGUGCUUAACACAUGCAAGUCGAACGAAGAGCGAUGGAAGCUUGCCUCUAUCAAUCUUAGUGGCGAACGGGUGAGUAACGCGUAAUCAACCUGCCCUUCAGAGGGGGACAACAGUUGGAAACGACUGCUAAUACCGCAUACGAUCUAAUCUCGGCAUCGAGGAUAGAUGAAAGGUGGCCUCUACAUGUAAGCUAUCACUGAAGGAGGGGAUUGCGUCUGAUUAGCUAGUUGGAGGGGUAACGGCCCACCAAGGCGAUGAUCAGUAGCCGGUCUGAGAGGAUGAACGGCCACAUUGGGACUGAGACACGGCCCAGACUCCUACGGGAGGCAGCAGUGGGGAAUCUUCCGCAAUGGACGAAAGUCUGACGGAGCAACGCCGCGUGAGUGAUGACGGCCUUCGGGUUGUAAAGCUCUGUUAAUCGGGACGAAAGGCCUUCUUGCGAAUAGUGAGAAGGAUUGACGGGACCGGAAUAGAAAGCCACGGCUAACUACGU
rnacentral:rRNA from 1 species